rnacentral:rRNA from 1 species
AUUGAACGCUGGCGGCAGGCUUAACACAUGCAAGUCGAGCGAGCGGCGGACGGGUGAGUAAUGUCUGGGAAACUGCCUGAUGUAGCGGGCUAACUACUGGAAACGGUAGCUAAUACCGCUUACUCUCAUUUUUGCCCCGAGGGGAUUAGCUAGUAGGUGGGGUAAUGGGUCACUUAGGCGACGAUCCCUAGCUGGUCUGCGAGGGUGACCUGCCAAACUGGAACUGGGACACGGUCCAGACUGCUACGGGAGGCAGCAGUGGGGAAGAUUGCAAAAUGGGCGCAAGUCUGAUGCAGGAAUGCCGCGUGAGUGAAGAAGGUCUUCGGGUUGUAAAGCACUUUCAGCAAGGAGGCGUUACUCGCAGAAGAAGCACCGGCUAACUACGUGCCAGCAGCCGCGGUAAUAC